rnacentral:rRNA from 1 species
GAUGAACGCUGGCGGCGUGCCUAAUACAUGCAAGUCGAACGAACAGAUGAGGAGCUUGCGCCUCUGACGUUAGCGGCGGACGGGAGAGGAACACGUGGAUAACCUACCUAUACGACUGGGAUAACUUCGGGAAACAGGGGCUAAUACCGGAUAAUAUAUUGAACCGCAUUGUUCACUCGUGAAAGACGGUUUUGCUGUCACUUAUAGAUGGAUACGCGCCUCAUUAGCUAGUUGGUAAGGUAACGGCUUACCAAGGCAACGACGCGUAGCCGACCUGAGCGCGACGUUGGCCAGCCGGUCUCUGAGGAUCGUCCCCGACUCCUACGGUAGGCCGCAGCCCGGACUCCUCCGCAAUGCAGGAGUGGGUGACGGUGCACCGCGGCGUGAGGGCUGAUCGUCCUCUGACCGGAGAAUUCUGUUAUUCUUGAAGAUCAAAUGCGUAAUUAACUAUGCACAUCAUGACGGUACCGAAUCAGAAAGCCACGGCUAACUACGUG